CAUUGCCCACAUAUUUUCUGAUCAAGCGACAAAUCGCCUGCGGUGAUAGUCUAUGGGAGUUUACGUGUUAAAUGCAAAAUCGCACAUACACGUAGGUCUACGUGUAUUACCUGCUGAAGAGAGGUGACUGAAGGAGGACUUGAUCUUGCAAUUCUUGGUCUGAUAACCAACAUGGAGGAAGCCCUUAUCCUAGAAGUGUAGGAAAAUCCAUUCCUGUAUGACAAGAGAUUGGAGCUGUUCAAGGAUACAGAAGUAAAAAAAUGAUGUAUGACAUGACAUUGGGCGUCAGCUUGUAAUCUCAGGUGACGUAGCGAGUUGAGGGACAACUUCCUAAAAAACGACAGAAAUGGAGAGGAAGAGUGGUGACGGAGCUCCCUCAAAUGCAGCACGUAAAUACAAGUACAGUGAGGCAAUGGAAUUCCUACUUCCCCACAUACAUAAUCGAGACAGAACAAGUUCAAUCUUGGAUCCUGUGUUUGAUGUGGACACACCAGGAGAAGCCUGUACCAAGCAGGAAGAAACUGAGCAGGAGAAUGGUGGGUGACAUCUGUCCACAACGUGGGUCAGUCUUCCUCGUCAUCAUCCUCAGGCACG